AGGCUAAUAUUCACUGUAUCCUCAUGUAACUUGUUUUCUUCAUUCCAUUUUCUUCCAGUUCUGCCACUCAACUGAGCCAUGCAAUCUGACCCUGAUAAUAAUAAUAGUAAUGAUUAGAAUGGAUUACAUUCAUUAUCUCAUUUUAUCCUUACAACACCAUGUGAGGGUCAUAUUUCAAUCUUUAGCACAACAGCAAAACAGAAGUGUCACCUGAGACCCUGGCAUAAGAUGACAAAGAAAUCUUUGAAUUUUUCUGCCAUAGCACACCGGAUCAUUCUUAUGGGUUCAAGAGAAACAGAGUGCCUUAGAAGUUAAUGGAUUUCUGAAGCCCAUGUAAAUCUGCCUUCCAUGAGACUGGGCUUUAUAACAGAGAACUUCACAAUUAUUGUGGUGUGUAUUUUCUUGAAUUUUAUAAGAGAUCUUAUUGUUUAAAUUCUUAUAUCCUUAUGUCAUAUGUGAAUAAAUGGCCUUAUUGUUCAUUUGAACAUGUCUU